GCUUACCCUCUUCUCCCUGGCUCUUCUGCGGCUGAGGGGCACAUUCACCUUCGCCUGUCCAAGACUUGCAAGUGGCCACUGGGCAUCUGCUCCCUGCGGGAUGCCACUUAGAAGCAGAACUGGUCAUGAAAGCGAGACUUUGGGGAUAGGAUGGAAAACCCCGCAUGGUGCGGGAUUCCGGGGAGCAAGCCAGGCUCAGAGAGGGUGGUGGGGGCUGGUGCAGGCCAGGAGCUGGAGGCCAGCCGCUGGCCCUGGCCGGGAGCUUAACUGUUCUUCCCACAUGCAGACUUGUUACCGUAAAUUCUACCUGACCGCUCCGAAAGUGCUGGGAACCUGUCCUGGUUUACUAUUUCUAAAAUACAAGCUCCCUCGUCUCCGAGAUAAGCUUGGCCAGGACUGAUUCGGCAGCCCGUCUGCCUUCUUGGAGACGCCGCGGGAAGCCGCGGCCUGGCGGUCAUUGGGCCUGUGGAAUCCGUGGGCCAUGUCCAGAUCCGGAGGCGUACAGGUCACGGCAAACAGCGGCUCAGCGUCUCGGCGGCUCCAGGCCGCGGAGAACCCGGUGGAGUGCCCAAGACACAGAGAGGGGAGACUGCUCCAGGUGCCAGCCUUUUCUGGCUCUAGGAAGUAGCGACUCCUCUGCUGCGUCCGUGGAUGGAACCAAGGCCACGAGUAGUGGUGGUGGUGGUGGUGGUGGGGUUCCCCCGGGGUGACCAGCCUGGUCUGUGAGCUGGAAGCUCCACCUUAGGGCCGGACCUGCGCUGUGUCACAAUGUAAUUGCCUCGCCUGGGGAGGAGAAGAGCAGCGUGUCUGCCUAGGCGGCGCCUAGCCCGGGUUCGUGUGGAUGUGGGGUACUGAGCCACCCUGAGCCUCUCUUGCUUCAGAGCCACCUCCGGAGAUGCCUCUAAGAGAGGCAGCCUCUAAAAUUUUCAAUCCUGGACCAGUCUAGUGGAAGAUCGGGCCAGGGUCAGAGGUCGUGGGGGGAGAGACUCUUAGCGCCCCCACCCCACUGCCUGUGGCCAGGCUAGAGCUAGGUUGAUCCCGAGCAGCGAGAUAAGGUUUUUCCUUCCGCCUACAAGUCUGCCCUGGGGAAGGGGCCUGGAUCCCACGCCUCCUGCCCCUCCUCCCAGUCCCCAGGCCUGGCUGCGCUCCGGGGCUGGCUGGCGUGAAAGUUUCAGCCUCGAUCAGUACAAUCUUCCCUCGGGGUCACGUGAACAAAUAUGCUCGCAUUUGAAGGCAGCGUCUGUAUUUCCCGACUAUGAGGGGGAUUCCGGGGCUCUCUCCAAAUCCAGCAAGGGCCACAUUCCGAAAGCAAAACAAACCUCGAGCUCUGGGGGGCCUGGGAGGGCUGGGCAGGAACCCAGGAGUGGGUGGGGGCGCGGGUGGCCGCCGCUCUGGGCCUGGGAGCGGGCCGGCGGGCGGGUGGACCGACGGGCGCGCAGCUCAGGCGAAGCCAGCUUGGGGACUACGAACUCGUUCCUCCUGCGUUUAUUGGUAGUUGAACCUCAGCCUGGUUCCGUUCUACCGGGAAUUCCUUGUGCUCGGGUAUAUGGCCGCGUCUGCGAGCACGCAAGACCAGGGUUGGGACAGUGUUGUCUGCAGACAAAGGGGGAAGGCUAGCUCUGCCCCCCACUGGCGCCCACUCUGAGGCCGAGGACACCAGGUUUAUGAUAAAUUGGGAUCCAGCCCGCGUAGACCUAGAUACACUUCUACAUAUACAUCGAGGACGGUGAUUAAUCGUAAGGAGGUGCGCUUUGUGGGGAUGCUCCCCGCCUACCCAAAGGUUAGGAGGACACACUACCUUGCCAGGCUUGGAGGGUGGCUGGUGGCAUUGGGCGGCUGGCAGCUUGAGGAAAGCGUGGGUAAGGGGGUUGGGGCUGAAAAAAGUAUUUUGGGGGUAAAUGUGCAGUUAUGAGCAUGGGCUGAAAAAUGAAAUGAAUAAAAAGAAACUUUUUUUUUUACACUGUCACUGCCAAAGUAAGAUGGAGCAUCAUAUUAAUUCUGUGUCUUGGGCUGCCUGGCUGGGUGCAGGCAGGUUGAUUUAUAUGUAUUUAAAAUAAACUCUGUGGCCAGCCAGCUCUCUGCAUUGUUCUGGGAGCCAGCUCCACAUACGCAUGCCUUUAUCUCUUGCUGUGGGCUUAAUAUUUCUUUCUUAGGAGGUUAAAGUGCUACUCAAGCUUCUCCCCCCAAAUUCAAGAGAACCCCCAAACUACCCAAAAGAGUUUGGGAGGUUCCUCCACACUUUUCCC
ensembl:lncRNA